AUGGCUACACUUCUUGAUCCUCGGUACAAGAGGCAUAUGUUGACUGCUUGCUUUGCGAUGCUUCAUGGCAUUGAGCCAUCUUCUUAUGAGUGUGUGGAGUUGGUUGAUGCAUUAGUAGCUAGACUACAUUCACUGAUAGAGGAGUAUGAAGUGGAAGUAGAUGAAUAUAAACCAUGUGAAGAAUUGCUUUCUUCAAUGAAAGCUCCAGCCAUCAUGAAUAUUUUCAAUGACAUUGUUGCCAAGCAAAGUCCUGCAGCAGCUCUUUAUAAGGUGAAAUAG
rnacentral:rRNA from 1 species